rnacentral:tRNA from 1 species
GGUAGGAUGUCGGAGUGGCUUAUCGAGCGGGUCUUGAAAACCAGUGAUGCCUAACAAGCACCGUGGGUUCGAAUCCCACUCCUACCG